rnacentral:lncRNA from 1 species
UAAAUUGUAGGUUUGGACAGAAUUUUUUCAAGCCCAAACCCAAGCCCAUGUAAUUAGUAAAAGGCCCAAGCCCUUUAAAAGCCCGUCCAAACUUGAGAGGGCUGGGCGUGGCAGAGCUUGUAUUGUUAAUAAUUUUUAAUAUAUUUUUAUUUUUAUUUCUUUUUUAUUGGGUGAGAGCUGCAUAUGGCAUUUUCAUUUAUAGAUGGAAAAUUUUCCCACAGCACCAUUAAUUAUCCUCCAAAUCUCAUAAUAAAAAAAAAGGACAAUAAUGUACAUGUAAGUGAAAAUUUUGCUUAAUUUUAAUGACAAACGAGAAAGUGCCUAUCAAAUAAAAACCUGCAAAUUAAAAGUGAUAAACUAGGUAAAUGUUAAAUACCCUUCAAUAAUUUUUAAAAGAAUUUGUGGCUGAAACUGAAACACAAUGCUUCUUCUUUGUUAUCCACUUUCUAUGGCAACAAUGAAACAUUACUCUUCUUCUUCUUCAUUCUCCCUCUCUCGAUUCUUCCACAAAACUACUCUCCAUUACAACAUCAACAAUGGCUUCAGUAAUCUCAGAAUUUCUACAAUAAUAAAAAAAAAACCAAAGCUUACUUGGGGUAGAGUUGGUGAUGGUUUGUUGUUGGUUUGCGUGCGCUGUUGGUGCUGCUGGGUUCACUGCUGCGUCGCGUGCUGCCGUGCUGGGCUCGUGUAGCUGUGUCGCGUUUGCUCUAGUUUGAACUCAAUCGACGAUUGCUGAAUGAUGUGGCUGCAAUUGUUGGGUCUUGUGUGGGUGUGAGGCAACGAUACGAAGGUGCAACUGUUGGCUGUUGCCUCACUUCAUUUUUUGCCUUUUUGGGUGGGUGUAGGUGUGUGAUUCUUGUGAGAGCUUUAGGGUUCAUUGUUUUUUGUUUAGAUUUUGUGUUUUUUUUUUCAGAUAUUUUUUCAUUUAUAUAUUUUUGUUUUUUAUUUCAGAUUUUUUUAUUUAUAUAUUUUUGUUUGAGGCCCUUAACCAAGCCCAUUAUAUAUGGGCUUCAUAUUUCUAAGCCUUUAUCCAUAAUUUUAUCCCGGGUUGGGCUUGAAGCUCGCAAGCACUUUUUUACCGAGCCUAAGUGGUCACCAGCGAUUUUC